rfam:Eimeria acervulina, Houghton, WGS project CBTS01000000 data, contig: Eah_contig1267_1
ACUUAGGCUUCUCUAGAAGCCACCAUAUCAUUAUAUGUUUUUCUUU